GUAUUGGCGGAACCAGAUUCAUCUCGUUUGAAGAUCGCAAUUGGCACAAUGAAUGCUUCAUAUGUGCCACAUGUAACGCAUGUCUUGUAGGCAAAGGUUUCAUCACAGACGGGCCCGAUAUCCUGUGUCCGGAGUGUGCUAAGCAGAAACUAAUGUAAACAGUGUAAUCUGUAAAACGAAAACAACGAACGACAUACCAGUUCUUAAGGAUGUAGUCAUAUGAACAAACCCAUCUUAUUUAAAAGUAGUUUAAAUAAUGAUAUUUUGUUACCCUGAUCCUUUAUGUAUCGAUAAUUUACAUUAAACGUUAAAAAUAUGUAUCUUACUCUACUUUCUAUGUUGGUAAAUAAACGAUACAUUUCUUUGUUAAAACCUCCAAGUUAAAAGUGUAACCAACGAUGAGAGAAAUACACGUUGUUGUUGUUGUUUUUUCUUUACUUUUUCCGAAUAUUGUUUCAUUACAAUUAUUUCAUGUUUUAGUUCAUUAUCACUAGUUAAUGUUUGUUACUGAGAAGCACGAACAGAUAAUCCUCGAAAGAUAAAUAGAUUCUAACUUACCGAAUCGGUAUAUUAUUCUCACAGGAUUAUGUAAAAUGAACUAGAAAGAAAUGUACUGUUCUUAUGUUAUAAUAAAUUGACAAACAAUGAUUUAUACGUACAAUGAAAUGGGUUUAUUUUAGUGAACAUACUGUGUGUUUCGACAGAACAUUGGUCUUUCUUCGGUUGAAACAUGAAGUAUUUUCCCUAAAAUCAACCCACUUCAUUAUACUUAUAAAUCAUUGUUUGUCAAUCAGCAUAACGUUCUUCCAUACAAAAAUAUUUACUAAUGUUAUCAUAUAUUGUUAUAGACCAAUCUCUUGGCCAAUGAGACCUGCUUAUUACAGAAAUGGCUUUCCUAGUCAUUUGUGUCAAACCAAAGAAGCUUUAAAAUACAGUCAAGUCUUUAUCGUAUCAUAGUUGAUGCAGUGGUUUCCAUUCAGAUAUAUAAACUUAAACAAUUAAGUAUUUGUCGUAUCAUAAUUGACGUGGCGGUUUUCAUUACCUAUUUAAUUUUAUGUUUGAAUACAGUUUUAAAUAUUUCUGGAAAGUAAUGAUUAUGUCAAAAUCUAUUCUAUGCACAAAUGCUUAGGACUAAAGUAAAGAUACUUCCAGAUCCAUGACUAAUAUAAUUCAGUUUAUCUAAAUUAACACUUUUGUUUGUCUCAGAUUAAUAGCUUAAAAUAAUUUUGUCAAAUUAUAAUUU